rnacentral:rRNA from 1 species
ACAUUUCUUUUAGAAAAAAAAUAAAAAGUAAGGCCUGCCCACUGUAUAUAUGAAGGGCCGCGGUAUUUUGACCGUGCAAAGGUAGCAUAAUCAUUAGUCUUUUAAUUGGGGAAUGGGAUGAAUGGCUUAACAAAUUAUUUCUAUUAGUUUAUAAGAGUUGAACUUAAAUUUUAAGUGAAAAUUCUUAAAGUUUUUAAAGGGACGAUAAGACCCUAUAGAAUUUUAUUAUUAUAAUUGUAAAAAUUAUACAAUAUAAUAUUUUUGCUGGGGCAGUAAAUGAAUAAAUACAAUUUCUUAUAUAUAUAUGGUUUAUAAAAAAAAGAUUAUCUAAUUUUUUAAAAAAUAAAUAAAUUACCUUAGGGAUAACAGCGUAAUUAUUUUUAUGAGUUCAUAUCGACAAAAUAGUUUGCGACCUCGAUGUUGAAUUAAAAUUCCUUUAUGGGGCAGUUUUUAUAAAAGGUAGUCUGUUCGACCUAAAAAUUUUUUACAUGAUUUGAGU